rnacentral:rRNA from 1 species
AUUGAGCGCUAGCUCGAUGCUUUACACAUGCAAGUCGAGCGAACGGCGGACGGGUCAGCACUGUAUGGGGACUGCCCGCUAGAGGGGGAUAACUCCUGGAACCGGUAGCUAAUCCCGCAUACUAUCGGAUAACCCAUAUGGGAUGUGCUAGUAGGUGAGGUACUGGCUCACCUAGGCGACGAUCCCUAGCUGGACUGAGAGGAUGAUAAACCACACUUGGACUGAGAAACGGACCAGACUCCUAGGGAGGCAGCAGUGGGGAAUAUUGAACAGUGGGCGCAAGCCUGAUGCAGCCAUGCCGCGUGUAUGAAGAAGUUCAUAGGUUUGUAAAGUACUGUCAGUCGGGAGGCGUUACCGACAGAAGACGCACCGGCUAACUCCGUGCCAGCAGCCGCGGUAAUUC